ACGGGUGAAAAUGUCUGGCAUACUGGGUGACGGAGGGGGAUAACUACUGGAAACGGUAGCUAAUACAGCAUAAGGUCGCCUGACCUAUGUGGGGGACCGUCGGGCCUCUUGCCAUCGGAUGUGCCCUGAUGUUAUUAGCGAGUAGGUGGGGUAACGGCUCACCUAGGCGACGAUCCCUAUCUGGUCUGAGAGGGUGACCACUAACACUGGAACUGAGAUGAACCCCAGACUCCUACCGGAGGCAGCAAUGGGGAAUAUUGCUAAUGGGUGCACGCCUGAUUCACCCAUGCCGCGUGUAUGAUUAAGGCCUUCGGUUUGUUAAGAACUUUCAUUGAUCAGUCGAAACUAUAUCAACAAUUCAGACACAGAUUGACAGGCCGGUUUACUAAACCACAGCUAACACGUGCCACAAGGUCGCCAGUACGUAGCUGGCUAUUGUUCUUCUGAGGCAUUUAAUGUCAAAGAAAGUAGGCUGUUAGGUUAGACUGUCCUAAAAGAACGGGCUUUGCCCCUAUCUGCUUAUGGAACUUGAAAAGUGAAUAGUAUUUAAUAGUAAAGAGGAGUAGUUCGUAUACCUUUUAAAGUAGGGACAAUGUUUAGACAAACUUACUGGACAAAAGGGAACUCCAGAGCGACAACUGACUCUUAGGCUGCAACAUUGGGUCCCCAGACUGCAUGACUACCCCAAAAUUACUACCCG
rnacentral:rRNA from 1 species